UGAGCAAUCUGCCCUUCACAUCGGAAUAACCAUUGGAAACGAUGGCUAAUACCGAAUAUGACUUCGGAUCGCAUGAUCUGAAGUGGAAAGCUCCGGCGGUGAAGGAUGAGCUCGCGGCCUAUCAGCUUGUUGGUGAGGUAAUAGCUCACCAAGGCGAUGACGGGUAGCCGACCUGAGAGGGUGACCGGCCACACGUGGGACUGAGACACCGGCA
rnacentral:rRNA from 1 species